AAUGAUAAAAUUAUUUUUAUUGUUAGGUUAAUUUUUGUUUAAAUAAAAGAUUUCUAUUUUUAUUAUUUUUAAGAAAAAAUUUUUAUUUAUUAUAGUUUAUUAUUAUUGAGGAAAAAAUAUUUAAUUAUAAAAUAGAAGAAUUUAAGUUUGUACCUUGUGUAUCAGGGUUUAUUAAUUUAAAAUUUUUAAUUAGAUUUUCUCGAAUCUAAAAGAGCUAUAUAAAUAUAUUUUUUACUGUAGAAUAAGUAUUAUUGAUAUUUAUAUAGAAGUGAAACGCUAUUCGAUUUUAGGGGUAUCUAGUUUUUUAAGAAAAAAAUUUAAUUUUAUUUUUAUUUUAUUAAAAAAUUUAAUUUUUAAUUUUUUAAUAGUAAAAUUUUAUACUUAAAGGGAUGAGCUUUUAAGUAAAUCCAUACAGUGAAUAAUAAUUUCAUAAUAAAUAGGAUUUUCAGUUUUUAUUUUAAUUAGUGUCUUAUAACUAUUUUUGGGUUUUAUAAAAUUUUUAUUUUUGUUUAUGUAGUUUAUUAGAAUAUAAAUUUUAAUUUAUUGAAUUUAGUGAUAAUGAUAAAAUUAGUAAAAAAAAUAGUUUAGUUGUGAUAAUUACGCUAGGUCUAAUAAAGGAAUUCGGCAAAUAGGGCUUUCACCUGUUUAUUAAAAACAUGGCUUUCUGUAAAAAAUUUAAAGUCUAACCUGCCCAAUGAAAAGUUCAAUGGCCGCGGUAUCUUAACCGUGCAAAGGUAGCAUAAUCAUUUGUUUCUUAAUUAGAAGCUUGUAUGAAGGGUUGAAUGAGAAACCAGCUGUCUCUAUUAGAAUUAUUUAGAAUUUUAUUUUUAAGUCAAAAAGCUUAGAUAUAUAUUGAAGACGAGAAGACCCUAUAGAGUUUUAUAUUAGGCUUAUUUUAAUUUUUUAGUAUUUAUUAAUUUUAACUUACUUAGUAUUAAAUUGGGGUGAUUGAAAAAUUAAGUAAACUUUUUCUUGAGAAAUCAUUGAUUUAUGAAUAUUUGAUCCUUUUAUUAAGAUUAAAAGAUAAAAUUACCUUAGGGAUAACAGCGUAAUUUUUUUAAGAGUUCUAAUCGAAAAGAAAGAUUGCGACCUCGAUGUUGGAUUAAAAUGAAAUUCUGGUGCAGCAGCUAGAAGUUUAGGUCUGUUCGACCUUUAAAAUUUUACAUGAUCUGAGUUUAAACCGGUAUGAGCCAGGUUGGUUUCUAUCUCUAUAAAAUUUAUAUACUUUAGUACGAAAGGAUUAGGUAUUUAAUUUAUAAUUUUUAUUUGGAAUUUCAUUAAUUU
rnacentral:rRNA from 1 species